UUGCCUGAGGCCCCACAGGGCUCCCGGCAGUGCCAGUGUGGAUUCAGGAUGGAGAGUCAAUGGCAGAGGAAGGAGAAGGGAGUCCGGGGGGGAAGAAAGAGGCCCUCUGGCUGUGACCUGCAGAGAACUGAGGUGGGAGAACUCGAACAUCCUUGAUUCUGCCCCAGAACUCUCUCAGUAACAAGUAGUAGAAGGGAAUUGACUGUCUCGUGUAACUGAGAAAUCAAGCCUGGGAUGAACUUCGUCUUGUGUCCUUGCCUGAACCAAUCACUGUGGCUAGGGCAAUACAGUUAUUUGAUUGACCAACGCAUGAAUCACAUGAUACCAGGGUGUGGGUCUACAGAGGAAAAUGGAUACUUAUGUCAAGAGGGGUGAAUGGUUUUGCUAGAUGACAAAAAUGCAGCUGUUCCUAUCCCCCUCUACUGUCUUAAAAGGUAGUGUAGUCUGUGGCCGGGCACACUGGCUCACGCCUGUAAUCCCAACACUUUGGGAGGCUGAGGUGGGCGGAUCAUGAGGUCA
rnacentral:lncRNA from 1 species